UUUCUCCAAAUCUGUUCUGAUGAAGAAACAAACUUAUCUGCAUCUUGGAUGGCCUGAUGGAACUUCAAGGGGAGCGGUUCAAUUGCUGUGAAGGAGGAUUCAGGGCACCCAUGAAAGUCUAGCAAGCGCCAGGAGCAUCUCCUAAAAUUGAUUCAGCUUCGGGAUCGGGGCACCAUCAGUGCAGAGCUUGCUCAGGAAUGGCGGCAGGCAGGUGUGAGUGCAAGAAGGGCAGCAAAGAACCCACUUAUGACAGACUGAAAUGCUGAGGACUGGGCUUUAAUGUAGAGGAUUCGAAGAAGAAGAAAUGACCAGACAAAAGCGCCUGUGAGACACUGCUUCAUUUGACGAGUGGUGCUGUGGUGGCCACGCUUCAAAACACCACUUUAUGUGUGUGUGUGUUUUCUCUUUUUAUAUCUUACAUUGCAUGAGAGAGACCACAGAGAAUUGAAAACAUACCGGGGGCCCUUAGGCUGAUCACGUUCUCUUCCUAUCAUAAACGGGAAGCAGUAAAGCUGGAAGGAAUCUCAGUUAGCACGUGGAUAUCAUACCCUCAUUAGAACACACAGUCAAAAAUAAUUUUGCUGCUUGCUUAAUUUACGUAAUUAAAAUGAGCUAAUACAACACAAUUCAUGGAGAUUUCAUUCAUUGAGUGCAAUCCAUUAAAAUUUGUAAAAUAGAAAUUUACUUAAUCCAUUCGCAUUAGGACCACAUGAAUAAUUUCCACUGGUGUUAACCUAGCAUAGGGAGAGUACAUGUUGAAAUUAAGUGUUACAUUAUGCAUUUUUGCACAAAAAGUGAAAAGAGGAAAAUUUGCUGGUUUUAAUGUUCAUUAUGUGGGGAUCAGUGCUAUUUGAGUAUCAUUAAGUUGAAUCAUUUUUUAUUUUCAUAUUUCACAUUUUAAUGUUAGUUAAUGUUUAAUUUUGUUAGCAAUUCUUUCAAGUAACGAUAAGAAAAAAAGGUUUUAGUUUUAAUUUCAGUUUUAGUUAACUAUAACCCUGGUUGGAAUUGAUAUGCAUUUCCACAGUUAUUAACAUUAACAUUCUUUUUUUUGUGUAUAUUUACAAAAAUUGU